GGCGCGAGCUGUAGACUCGCGUUUCUAUCAAGAGAAAGACUUUCCAUAGCAACGGAUAAGUAGCUAGUGAUGGGUCGUUCUGCGAUGAAUUUACGUUUAGUUAGCCAAAAAAAAUGUGUCAAUGCACUAUUUUUCACGCAUGAACCUAUACAUAAACUCACGUAACUCAAAGUAACAACAAAACGUAUUCAUCGAACUUAUUUUUUAUCUGUGGAACUAAAAUGGUUCAUGUUUGUUUGUUUACAAAAAACGAUUAUUGUUGUUGAUUUUACGUGUUUAAAUAUUGGUGAUUACUGCGUGCGGCAAGGAAAAACGUACGAAGUCCCAUCCAAUAAACAGAGAAGAUAGUAUCCCGAUCCAUUGGGAAAAGAAGGCCACGAUAAAGAAGAAUAGGUCCGUAUUCAAACGCUGCUGAAAAAAUAUGGAAAAGAACGAGUUCUUAGCAUACAAUGCUGACACGAGAAACAUUCUAUUAAUUACAAAAAAAGGAUGCUAAAUGACAACUGGGUCGUCAGUUUACAAAUUAUUGAAAUGAUAUAAUUUAAUAAAGAAUGUGAAUAUUAAAAUCAUAAUGGUUGUUUAUUUAAAAUGUCAUUUUUUUCUUAGCAGAUAAAACUGUCCAAUUCUAGAGUCAU